ACGGUGUGGCCCACCAUUUUUAAUUUUUAUUAAAUGUAGAAGGUUAGUUUUGGAAAAAAAAAUUGAAAGAAUCCGUGUAAUUUGAAUGUAAACGCCACGUGGGUGUGUCAUCCUACCGCUGCUCUAAUUUUUUUUUUGAAAAAACGGUUUUCACUUUCCCCCGUUCUCUUUUUCAUGCGUUCUCCCUGGCUUCUCCCUCGCAUUCUCAUUUGGUUCUGCAGCGUUCUCCACUAUCUUUGGUUCGCAACCUAUGUUGGCUUCGCGUUUGGUUGGCAAUGUUCCCCUUUGCAGGGUUCUUUUCAAUGCCAGCCCUACCUUACUCUCUCAACGACGACCCUGUAUCCCAUAAUAACAACAACCUUGCAUCUCAUCUUUGCUUUAGGAGAUGAAGCUUGGAUGAGAAUGUCCAUUUUUAUUCACUGUGUAGAGGUGUGGCUGGUUUGCUUUCAAGGUAGGCAAUGGAAUCAUAAGUCUGCUUGGGAUUGUUACAAAAGUUUUGGGAUUUGAUGGAUUGUAGGUUCACCUCUAUUCUUGUGGACUCUUUCCAUGCAUUUUUUGCUGGUGACUACUUAUUCAAUCGAUCUACCCCUGUUGAGAUGAAGAGAAUUGCAGUGCUUGAACCCUCACAAAGCUAAAUGUUUUUUGGUGCUAAUAUGUGCGUAAUAUUAAAUCUACAGACCUUUGUGUUCAAGAGGCCAACCAUGAUUCUAGAUUGUUGAUUUUUUUCUACAGCAUUCUUGAGUUUCUUCUCUUUAAUUUAGCAUUGUUCAAGGUAAAAGGAUAAAAGCUUCAUGUUUUCUUAAAUUAUACAUGUGUACCUUAUAUGAAAGUAAAAUUGUUCUCUAUUGACUUUCUUAAAGGAUAUACCUGACAAUGAAGGACAUGAAAAAUUUGGUAUUCAAUUUUUGUUAGUGCAUUUGGGUCAGAAGAAGGUACGGUCUUCUUAUGUAUAAUCUCAGAGGACUUGGUUGUGCUCUCUUGUAUCCUUGA